AUUGAACGCUGGCGGCAUGCUUUACACAUGCAAGUCGAACGGCAGCACGGACUUCGGUCUGGUGGCGAGUGGCGAACGGGUGAGUAAUACAUCGGAACGUACCGCGUAGUGGGGGACAACAAGUCGAAAGAUUUGCUAAUACCGCAUACACUCUAUGGAGAAAAGCAGGGGACCUUCGGGCCUUGUGCUAUGCGAGCGGCCGAUGGCUGAUUAGCUAGUUGGUGAGGUAAAGGCUCACCAAGGCGACGAUCAGUAGCGGGUCUUAGAGGACGAGCCGCCACACUGGAACUGAGACACGGUCCAGACUCCUACGGGAGGCAGCAGUGGGGAAUCUUGGACAAUGGGCGCAAGCCUGAUCCAGCCAUGCCGCGUGAGUGAAGAAGGCCUUCGGGUUGUAAAGCUCUUUCGGCCGGGAAGAAAUCGCACCAGUUAAUACCUGGUGUGGAUGACGGUACCGGAAUAAGAAGCACCGGCUAACUACGUGCCAGCAGCCGCGGUAA
rnacentral:rRNA from 1 species